CCGUGCUCUAGAAAAUAAAAAAGAAAAAGAAAAGGAGAAAAGGAAAAAGAAGAAACCCUAACAGCCGCCGCCGCCGCCUUCCGCCACCCCGCCGCGCGCUGGCCGCGAAGCCCCGUCGCAGAUCCGCCGCGCUCAGCGAACUCCUGCCCAAGCGUCGCUGCGGCCGCCUGCACACCGUCGCCCGAAGCCGACCCGACCCGCGUUACCCUUCGCGAUCCGCAGCCGAUCCGUUCGUAGCCGCCUGCCGCCACGUGAAACUUCGUCCGCCGCGUCGUCGAGCAACAGCGACCGUCGGUCGUCAGCCGCACGUCUCCAGUCGUCGCCCGAACCCGAAGCUGAACCCGCGUCCGCAUACUGCUCCGUGCCCGCGCGCCGCCCCGAGUCGCAAACCGAGCCGCACGCGUCCAGCUCUCUCUGUGUGCAAGCCGCGCCGCCUGCACCGCAAGCCGAGCCGCACUCGCACAGUUUCUGCACCGAGCCGAGUCGCGCCUGUGCCAAGCCGAGUCAGUCCCUAUUCUUUUUCAGCCGAGCCGCCAAGUCUUUUAGCCACCUAAUUUUUGGUCUUUUCCCCAAGUGUCAGUGGCCACCUUGGACGAUUUGACUUGGAGCGUGGAUUUCUUCAGUAGGGGCUCAAGCAUUGCAACCUCGACCUAGGUUAGGACCUCGUUGCUUGGAAAGCACACUUGUCUUGCGGUUAGGACUCGUCGAGUAAAUCUCCAGGUAGAGGCCGAGGUAGGGGCAAAGGCAAGCUGGCGAGCGACCAGAAGUGACCGUGGCGAGCCAUAGGGAUUUCUGCUUCCACUUACCCCGUUUUAGAACUUUUGUACUUGAGUUUUAUUUUCCUUCCUAUUCAUUAUUUCAUUGUUUAAAAGUAGAUAGGGCCCGAGUAGGAUUUUAACUUUUUUCAUUUUCCAUAUUAUGCUGAUUUGAUUUUCGUAAAUAAAAUUCUGAACUUGAUUCGUUUUA